rnacentral:rRNA from 1 species
UACGUAGGUGGCAAGCGUUGUCCGGAUUUAUUGGGUUUAAAGGGUGCAUAGGCGGUUCUCUAAGGCAGUUGUGAAAUACGGCAGCUUAACUGUCGAGGUGCAAUUGAUACUGGAGAACUUGAGUACUGAUGAGGUAGGCGGAAUGGACGGUGUAGCGGUGAAAUGCUUAGAUAUCGUCCAGAACACCGAUAGCGAAGGCAGCUUACUAAGGAGUAACUGACGCUGAGGCACGAAAGUGUGGGGAUCAAACAGG